rnacentral:rRNA from 1 species
AGUGAACGCUGGCGGUAGGCCUAACACAUGCAAGUCGAACGGCAGCACAGUAAGAGCUUGCUCUUACGGGUGGCGAGUGGCGGACGGGUGAGGAAUACAUCGGAAUCUACUUUUUCGUGGGGGAUAACGUAGGGAAACUUACGCUAAUACCGCAUACGACCUACGGGUGAAAGCAGGGGAUCUUCGGACCUUGCGCGAUUGAAUGAGCCGAUGUCGGAUUAGCUAGUUGGCGGGGUAAAGGCCCACCAAGGCGACGAUCCGUAGCUGGUCUGAGAGGAUGAUCAGCCACACUGGAACUGAGACACGGUCCAGACUCCUACGGGAGGCAGCAGUAGGGAAUAUUCGACAAUGGGCGCAAGCCUGAUCCAGCAAUACCGCGUGGGUGAAGAAGGCCUUCGGGUUGUAAAGCCCUUUUGUUGGGAAAGAAAAGCAGCAGGUUAAUACCCCGCUGUUCUGACGGUACCCAAAGAAUAAGCACCGGCUAACUUCGUG